CGAGCUCGAGCGAGCUUAUGUCAGCUCAAAUUCGGCUUGGAAUUAAUUUCGAGCCUAAAUCUAGGCUCAAGCUCGGCUUGAAAUUAAUUCGAGCCGAACUCGAGCGAGCCUAAUUUCGAGUCGAGCCGAGCUCGAGCUCUAAACGAGCCGAUUGAAAUUCUCGAUAUUAUAUAAUCAAUAGUUUAAUUUUUAUAGAACAUUACCUACAAUUUAAUGCAACAUGUCCAAUAGUUCAAAAUACAAAAUAAUUAUAAGAAAUGUGAGCUAGGGUGACUUCCUGACUGGAUGAGGGUCUGAGAGAGAGAGAGAGAGAGAGAGAGAGAAAGGAAAAAAAGUAGGGAUUUGAAAAUUUGAAUGUUAUUAUGUUUUAGGGUUAUGUACAACAGUGAAAGUCUGAAAGAGAGUGUUAUGUAAAUUUAGAGUUGGGCUCAAUUGCAUGGUUGUACUUGUUGGGUUUAUUUUAUGGGCCAACAAUAAUGACCCAAAUUAAAUUAAAGCCUAUAUAUAAUUAAAAUACAUUAUAUUCAUUCAUAAAUAUUAUAUAACCAACAACCCACUCAACCCUAGAGGACCACUAUCAUUCUAAGUGGGGACCACCAUUAUCCUAACCACACAUCCCAUCAAUCAACGGAUAAAAAUUUAUGAGUAUAAGGGGGUCUAUACUCAUAAGAGUAUAGUAGCCCCAGCCUAUAUAUAUAUAUAUAUAUAUAUAGAAUGAUGCUACUAUACUAUCAAUAGUACCAAGCCCUUGGUACUAUUGAGUUUUCGGCCGUUGGAUUAAAGGAUGUGCGGUUAGGAUGAUAGUGGUCCCCGAUUAAAUUGAUAGUGGUCCCCUAUGGUUGAGUGGGUGGUUGGUUUAAUAGUAUAAUCUAAUGGGUGAAAAUGAUCAAAGGGUAGAUCUAACGUUAGAAAACUCAAUAGUACCAAAGGCUUGGUACUAUCGAUAGUAUAGUAGCCGGACUCUAUAUAUAUAUAUAUAUAUUUCGAGCUUUUCGAGCCUAAUUCGAACGAGCCGAGUAAUACUCAAGCUCGGCUUGAAAUGAAUUUCGAGUCUUUUAUUUUGUUCAAGUUCGGCUCAUUUAAUUUCGAGUCGAGCUCGAGCGAGCCGAAUAUCGAGCCGAACACGAGUCGAACGCGAGCCGGCUCGCUCGUUUGC
rnacentral:lncRNA from 1 species